rnacentral:rRNA from 1 species
UUAAAGAAUUUCGGUUAUCGAUGGGGAUGCGUUCCAUUAGAUAGUUGGCGGGGUAACGGCCCACCAAGUCAACGAUGGAUAGGGGUUCUGAGAGGAAGGUCCCCCACAUUGGAACUGAGACACGGUCCAAACUUCUACGGGAGGCAGCAGUGAGGAAUAUUGGUCAAUGGACGAGAGUCUGAACCAGCCAAGUAGCGUGAAGGAUGACUGCCCUAUGGGUUGUAAACUUCUUUUAUACGGGAAUAAAGUGGAGUAUGCAUACUCCUUUGUAUGUACCGUAUGAAUAAGGAUCGGCUAACUCCGUGCCAGCAGCCGCGGUAAUACGGAGGAUCCGAGCGUUAUCCGGAUUUAUUGGGUUUAAAGGGAGCGUAGGCGGGUGCUUAAGUCAGUUGUGAAAGUUUGCGGCUCAACCGUAAAAUCGCAGUUGAUACUGGGCGCCUUGAGUGCAGCAUAGGUAGGCGGAAUUCGUGGUGUAGCGGUGAAAUGCUUAGAUAUCACGAAGAACUCCGAUUGCGAAGGCAGCUUACUGGACUGUAACUGACGCUGAUGCCCGAAAGUGUGGGUAUCAAACAGGAUUAGAUACCCUGGUAGUCCACACAGUAAACGAUGAAUGCUCGCUGUUGGCGAUACACAGUCAGCGGC